rnacentral:lncRNA from 1 species
GAUUCUAAUCUGCCAAGGGGAACGAAAAAGAGACACUCGGGGGUGCCCGUCUGCAUUGGUUCCGUAGUCUGUAAUUUUUCACCAGUGUCCAUCAGUUACAGGACGACGACAUCCCUUUGUCUUGCAAGUGUUUCCGUCCGUGAAUUAAGAUUAUAUUCGGAGCCAAGCUAAUCUCAGUAGCGUAGAUGCUGUAUACAACACCAGUAGCGACAUUAACCUUAAAGAAAAAC